UCGUGAUAUUUUACUGUAGUUGCGCUCGUGGAAUGAAAAAGACAAGAAUUUACACAAACAAAAUGCAUUUGUUUUCCUCGUUUGCUUUAUGCGUUGAUUUUGUUCACUUCUGUACAAGAUCUAAUCGCUGGAAGAGUCUUUUGUGUGAACAUUUGUUAAAAAAGUGAGAAAAGAAAUGAAUAAAUUAUAACUAUAACAUUUGUUUUCCUCGUUUGCUUUAUUCGUUGAUUUUGUUCACUUCUGUACAAGAUCUAAUCGCUGGAAGAGUCUUUUGUGUGAACAUUUGUUAAAAAAGUGAGAAAAGAAAUGAAUAAAUUAACAAAAUAAAUCAAAUUAAUAUAAACAGAUCAAUUGAAAGCAGUGGUCCAAAUUUUAGCGGAUCAAACUGUUUUAAUAAAGCAGCUGGUAAGGGGGAAUUGAAUCCCAUUCGGGGACAGUUCCCAAUAAAACGUGAGGAAGAGCUUAUAGAACUGGAAGAAAAAAAUAAAAUUAAAUAGGGACAUUUAUAUAACAGAAAUGAAAUCAAUUCUCCAGCCAGCUGGCGUUUUGAGCGGCUUGAACUUUAUUUUGAGUGAGGACAUUGUUCUGGCAUCUGGACGUCGAUGGGGUCCAAGGGAAGAAGGCCCUUAGGACCCACAAAGAAUUUUUUUCAGCUUUGCUAGUAAAUAUUAAUUACAGAAUGUAUUCCGCCUGGCGAUGAGCCCCCCGAAAACACUGUACGGAAGGCAAUGCAAAGGAUGAAGAAAAGAGUGUUUAAAAAGAAGUGUCUUGCCAAAAACCAGGAGUAGGCUAAGCAUCAUAUAAUUAAAAAUUAUUCGUUAUAUUGAAA